CGACGCACAAACACACACACACAUACACAUAUACACAUGCAUAUAUAUAUAUAUGUGUGUGUAUGCGCAAGUCAAGGGCUGAUUCGCACAGUUGGAACUGAGUAGCAAAGAUCAUCAUCAUCUACUCUUCUCUCGCGGAUUCGCGAGGUAUAUCUAUACGAAAGUAUAUUCAUUUUGUGGGAGGGGAUGGACGAAAGCAAAUAACCACGCGUUUCUCUCAUCAUAGCAACAGAACGUCCGCACAUCCCCUGAAGCGACAAUCUAAGGACCACGCCCCCUUGAAGGGCGCCCCACUACCCGCUGUUGGUUUUAGCUGAAAAAUGUCCGAUGACGACCUCGACGCGCUUCUUGACGAGGCGAUGGAUAUGGUCGACGAGCAGGAGCGCAAGCAUGAGGAGGAGGUUCGCGUGCGGGACGCGAAAUUGGAGGACGAUCUGCAAAAGGCUCUGGAUGAGGCGUCGGGCACAGCCGGCGGCGACGCCGACAUGAUGAAGAUGCUCAUGUCCAUGCUCGGCGGCGACGGCGCUGACGACGCGUCUCUCGACAGCUUCAAGAAAAGUGUCAUGACAAUGGUUUCCUCGCUGGAGGGGGAGGAGAAUUUGGGCGAGGAGGACAAGGCGAACCUGCUACGAGUCAAGGAGCUGAUGCGCGUGAUGGAGGAGGAGGACAUCGACAAGGCAAACGAUUUACUGGAGCAGAUGAAGCAAGAAGGCAAACUUCCCGACUGCAAUAACGUCGGUGACGCGGAGAUUGAUGAAGCGUCGCGGCGGUGCAUGGAGAUGCUGCAACAGCUUUCCAGCGCCACGCAGGUAGGGCACUUGGACCCAGCCGCGACGCCGGGAGCGGCGUCGUCAUCCUCGGCAGCACCACCGGCGGCGCCGGCUGGCGACGGCGCCGAAAUUCCUUCCGAGGUGGGUCGUGCCACGGAGGCCAUGGCAUCGGCCUUGAUUUCCACGCUAGCUGACCCUCAGUUCGUGGAACCCAUAAAGCUUAUGCGAGACUCGUACGGACCCUACAUGGACGCUCACGGCAGCGAGCUGUCGCAUGAGGACUGUGAGCGCUACGAACGCCAACGGGCCAAGGCGCAAGAGAUCUGCGACUUACUGCAGAACCCCAUCUCUGGCGCAGAAGAUCCACGGCUUAUACAACUGCUGGAGCUCAUGAACAAGUACUCGGAGCUAGGUGAUCCGCCGCGCAAUCUAGUGAAAUACGCGCCGAAGAAUCGCAAGGGUGUCGAAGAGUGCCAAUGACACGACGGCGUACAUCAAGGGCAUCGUCGAAAGAAUAGGAAGAGGGGAGAAAGCAAAAAAAAAGAACAAAACUUGGGAUUGCCCUCCGUGUGCCGCGGCGCCCUUUUCCCCGGUCUGUGGCUGCUGCCUCCUGCGUCGGUGCACCACGCGUAUUUUCAGUGCUGAACGGCCAAGGUGAGAGGAGAUCGCGUGAGUAGACCCCGUCUCUUCUCCUUUCUCACGUUGGUUUCCGAAGCCCUGUGGGCGUGUUUUGGGGUUGUUACGAUGCUGCCUGGCGUCCUUGUGCAUCAGCCGCACAUGCCAGAUGUUUUAAAUGGUGAAAAAGACGCUGCUCAAUGGCCGACGGCGCAUGCGCGCUCACCAUGUUAUUAUCGGCGCUGGCGAAGUGACGCAGAAAAGUGUGACAUCGCUCAGCAUGUGUGAUGCCGUUACUUUAUAGACGCAUGUCAGUCUUCGUGUGCUUCAGUAAAUUGUUGCUGUUUGGUGCUCGUGGCGAUCGUUUUUGUUUGUCCAACUUAUUUUUCUCGUCCCCCUUCCCCCACAGGUGACAUCGUCGCCGCACCUUCUCUACGCUUCGUUCUCUUUCUCUUACCUGUUCCUCUAAGAAAUAGCACAAAAAAACAUUAGCUUCAGCUAAGGUGAGUCGAAGGAGGAGUGGGAGGGACACUUGAGCGUGUGCAAGGCUGUUCAUAGGUGAUGCCGACUACC
rnacentral:misc_RNA from 1 species